ACAGGACAUCUGGCUGGUCACAUAAAUUUUUGACCACAAUAUAAAUUGAUAAUCAUUAAAACAUCUGUUUAAAAACCAUAAAUGUCCUAUUGGGUAUAAGGUGUUAAAUAAACAUGUCGUGGUGUGUCUGUCAAUUUAUUUUUCUAUAUUCUUAACCUCAUUUGUGUUGUGGAUUAUGUUUUGUCUCUGAGUUUACAGUCCUACCAACUUUGGGUAAUAUUUUUGUCUCAAGUGAUGUUAUAUUAAUUUUAACCUUAUCAGUUAGCAAAAUAAUUUUAAAUUAUGUGUUGAUCUGUGUUUAAAUUCUUUACCAAACUUUAUCAUUUACAAAUUUUAACUUAACUUAUAACAGUGUGACAGUUUUUGCCUAGUAGGGAAGUUUUUCAGAGAAGAGAAUUCACUCCUUUCUUUACUCUAGACUCUACAUUGUUUUACUGGAUGUUGCAGUAAGUCUCUAGCACUGAAGAAUUACAACGGGUUAUUCACAGAUAAUUGCUCCUGGAGGCGGAGUAGCAUGGCUUUCCACUGACUGACUUAAGAAGACAGGGCCAUAUCAGUGUGAAGGAUAAGAUGAUGGAGAAUCAUACAGGCAGCAUGUGGACCGACUGUUGCACAGAAAAGAGAUGACCAUCCCACAACAAGGACAACAGAGUACCAGCAGGCACUCUGCUGUGACAGAGCCCAGAAGCUUUAGGAAGAGGACUGCCAACAAGCAGACUGGCAUUCAUCAGGGGCCAACGAUGAUGAACACUGUGGGACGGACAAGCAAGGGAACCAGAAUGAGCAGCUGCCACCAAUGCUAGAUGAAGAAGAGACAGGUCUAGUUGUGAGUUCAGGAUCAAGUCCAUUCGGAGGAUUUGCUCAACAGGAUCCGGCAGGGGAGUUCAGUGUAGGAAGAGAACAUUUCAUAGACGUGUGAUACAGCAGCCAGCUAGAUUCAAGGACUAUGUUUUCGAAUAACUUAAGUGGGAGGAGAUGUUGUGUACUGUUGUAGCAUUGUAUGUGUAAAUAUUGUUAGAUGGUUAUCAGGCCUGUUUUUGUUGUGAGCUGAGCAGUUGUUAUGAACAUAGACUGGUGGGAACUAGGACAAUGUAAAUGAUGUGAAUGAUGAGCAGUUUGGUAGUAAUGUAUGUGGGAGGAGGUGAAAUAUAACAAUAUGCGUUAUACGUACUUCUAAUUGUUGUGCUUACACUGGAAUUUGCACAAAUUCAUUAGGGGUUAUUUGCACUCUUGUUAAGCUAUACUGCAUUAUUAUAUAUCCAAAUAAAUAUGUACUAAGUUGUGGCUCAAA